rnacentral:rRNA from 1 species
AUUGAACGCUCGCGGCAUGCUUUACACAUGCAAGUCGAACGGCAGCGCGGGCUUCGGCCUGGCGGCGAGUGGCGAACGGGUGAGUAAUGCAUCGGAACGUGCCCAGUAGUGGGGGAUAGCCCGGCGAAAGCCGGAUUAAUACCGCAUACGACCUGAGGGUGAAAGCGGGGGACCGAAAGGCCUCGCGCUAUUGGAGCGGCCGAUGUCGGAUUAGCUAGUUGGUGGGGUAAAGGCUUACCAAGGCGACGAUCCGUAGCUGGUCUGAGAGGACGACCAGCCACACUGGGACUGAGACACGGCCCAGACUCCUACGGGAGGCAGCAGUGGGGAAUUUUGGACAAUGGGGGCAACCCUGAUCCAGCCAUGCCGCGUGCGGGAAGAAGGCCUUCGGGUUGUAAACCGCUUUUGUUCGGGAAGAAAUCCUCUGGGCUAAUACCCCGGGGGGAUGACGGUACCGGAAGAAUAAGCACCGGCUAACUACGUG